ensembl:lncRNA
GUUAUUUUUUGCUCUACGAUGUAAAAAGGUGGAAAAAAAAAAUGUCAAAAUGUCAACCAGCACAGAUCUUCCCACCUCCGGAUACGUACCCGCGUGAAACGGCACCGGCGAGAUCGGCUGCGACAGCGUGGGCGAAGGGCUGCCCACCGCCAGACCCUUCCUCUUACGGCCUCUGCGGAGAAGAGAAGCACAGCACGUCAACGCACGUCGCAGCGGGGAUCCCUGCAUUCAUGUAGAUCUGUUACUACAGAAUAUUUAGAUGAACUUAUAACCUUCUUAUUGUCUGACUUGUGUAUAGAAACUACUACAGAGUGAAUAAAAUGGUUUUUAUUCAUAGUUGGGGGGUCCUAGUGAACCAGAAUCAAUCACUUCAUCGAUGGAGACAUGGAAGCACGUUGUAAGUCGCUCUGGAUGACUUACAAUGUAAAAAAAACUACAGAUCCCACAAUGCAGCGCUUCAGUUGCAAUCUUUCAACUGCAGCCGAAUCGGAGCAGUCUCCACUGGGGACGUGCGACGCCACCGAUUUCCUUUUCGGUCCCAUGCCGAGUGGAAUUCGGGUUGAUGAAACGUUUGCCGCGGAGCACCUGAUGAUCAGAACGGUCGGUAGAUCCUUUCUGCUAGAAUACAGCCUUACCAUCACGGGGACGGAAAUUUUAUUUUUAUGACUCGUACACUGAAUCAUCCUUCGAUGCACUUUUCCAAGCGUGUUACGGAUGAAGCGGCCUGACAUUUUUAGGCUGGCGUGAAACUGAUUCACCGUAAAUAGACAGACGCGGCGAACCGCCGAAGGAACAAACGAAGGGGCAGCGGUGGCCUCGCGGGGAAGGAAGCGGCCUCGCACCAUCGAAGGAUUGCAGGUUCGAAUCCCGAACCGCCAAGGUGCCACCGAGGUCCAUAACACACCUCUCCCCAUGCACCAAGGUGCCACCGAGGUCCCCCAUACACUCCUCCCCGGGCACCAAGGUGCCACCGAGGUCCCCACACACACACUCCUCCCCGGGCACCAAGGUGCCACCGAGGUCCCCCACACACUCCUGCCCGGGCACCAAGGUGCCACCGAGGUCCCCCACACACUCCUCAAACCGCCAAGGUGCCACCGAGGUCCCACACACACUCCUCCCCGGGCGCCAAGGUGCCACCGAGGUGCCACAAGGGUGACGCAGGGUUACAUGCAGAGGCCACCAUGUGGUGCGACGUGUGUCACAAAGCCUGGUGAUGCGCAACAUGAUACGUCACCG